rnacentral:lncRNA from 1 species
ACGCAAUACUAUUUGUAUAUAUAUAUAUAUAUAUAUAUAUAUAUAUAUAUAUAUAUACAUUUUUUCAUACACAUCCUAGAGUGCUAUAUAAAUACAUACAUUCUUUCAUACACAUUCAGAGUGCUUGAAGUGGAGAAAGUAAAGUAAUAGGGAGGUUUUUUGUAAAUUGAAAAAUAUUUCUUGAUUUUUAUACAUUUUUUAUUUGCCAUUUAUAUUGUUUCUAUGUGAGGUCAGUAACAAAUGCUAAUCCUAAAAGUUGUUUGAAGAGGACUCAGUGAUAAGGUUGCCAUUCAUUCAUUGAAAUAGGAAUGUCGACAGUAUUGCAAUAGUUGUUUUCAGUAAAUAACUGAGUUUUGUUCAAGUUAAAACUCACAAGCCACUGCAACCCACCUUAAAAUGACAUAAGGGACCCUUAAGGGUCCCUUAGGGGAUAAGGGGAUACUAGAGCAAAAUUUUUUUUGACCUUUUUUUUUAUAUCAAUUUAUAUUUAUAAUAGCUUAUCUUACUUUUUUGAUAAAGUUUAGCUAACAUGAAUUAAUUUUAAACAUUAAAAUUUGUUUAUAGCAAAUCUUAAUAAGGGAUCGGUAAGUGCAAAAUCAGGGCUAGCCCUUAUUCGACUUAAAUUUUACGGAAUUUUAAAACUCGAAAGAAAAACAUUUUACGGAAUGAUUUUUGUAAAUGCGCAGUUUUUAUAAGCAUGGUUUUUUUCUAUCGUGGCGUUGCAAUUAUCAAAAGCUUUAAUUUAAUAAUUAAAAAAAUAGUUUAAUAAAAUUGAUGUAAUUUGUCAAUCGUAGCAUGGUAAUUGUUCAUCCUUAUCAUUCCAGUUAAAUUGGUAUAGGUAUCUAAACUCUGUCUAGUAUCAUUGUAAUUAGUGUAAAGAUCGUAAAUAAAUGUGUUUGUUUUAAAAAUGACAAUGAGUACAUUAUACCACUUGUAGAUGAUAUAUUCAAGGGUUGACUCCUAAUGGCUGUGUAAUGAGUCAAUCAUUUUAAUGUAAUGAUAAUUUAGUUUUUAUAUCAUAAUAGACUUUAUGUUGUAAAUAUUUAAAUAUAAUAAUACUAAAACAAUUCGUGUUGUUUUAAUAUUUUGCACUAAAAUUAGAUAUAACUAAUAUACUGCUACAGUAAAUAUUUCAAGCAUUUAGAGACAAAAAAAGCAUAUCUAAAGCGUCUUUUUUUCAACAUUUUUUUAUUUUAUUGUGUCAUCAAAACUAUUUGAUAAUAAUUUUGAACUGUUACUGACUUUACAUAAUUUAGUAAUAAUUAAAAUAUAUGAUGUAGUACAUCAGUCAAAAAUAUGUUUUAAUUUAUUGUUUAUCUGAUAAAUCAAUAUCAAUUAAUCAUGCUGAUAAUGGUGUUGGAUGGAAUCCGGAAGAAUUCAAAAAAAAAAAAAAUUGUAAAAGAGUUGAAUUAAUGGUGAUAAACAACAAUAAUAUGAUAAAGGUUUUAGUUUUGCAAUGUGCAACAAGUUGUGAAGCCCUGAAAGAAACUUUAAAGUUUAUUUAUGAAAUGAAAAUAAAAUACAAUCAAUAAAUUUUAUACAAACUUAUUUCAACUUGGUCUGUGGCUUAAAUAGAUGGCUGCCUCCAGUGUAUGUAAAUAUAAAAUACAAUACUAUGUUUAUUUAUAUGUUUAUAUCUUCUGUUUAUUUAGUUCUUUAUGAUUUUUUUAUUUUUUUUAAAGAAAUUAUUAUCCAAUUUUUUUUUUAAUCCAUCCACUUCAUACAGCUUCUAAGGACUCAAAUUUUUUCAAUCAAGUUUUUUGUUCUGAGUCAAUGGUAAUGUUUUAUUUAUUGUAACAGUUUAGACAGUUUGUUAAGUUUUUAUUUUUUAUUCAUAAAAUAGUUUGAUAUUUUCGGCUCAGCAUGCCCAGGAUACUGUUGUUAAAUCAGCUUUAAAGCCCCUGCCACCGCUAAAAACUAAUGAUGCCAAUGUUAUUUAAAUGAUUUUUUUGAUGUUAUUUAAAUUUCAAGUUUUUACAUAUUUUUAGAAUACAAAAGAAACAAAUAUCUAAACAUCAUCAGGUGUAUGUAAUAUAAUUUUAAAAACAGAUAAUUUUCCUAUAAUUUUUUAAAUGACAAGUUUUUGAUACAGCUUUUUAUUGUUUUAGUAUUGCUCUUCAAUAACUACAAGUUGUCAAAUUGAUGUUUCAAGCGUUUUACAGACAGAUAAUCAGUAAAAAUUUUUUUACAGAUGCAUGAUAGUAUGGUUAGUAUUUGCAAUCGUUUAAAUGGUGAACCAUCUAGUCCAUAAGGGAAAGCUUUGAGGCAGGGAAAGUUGGAAGAACUUUUUUGUAAUGAUCCUGUUGAUCAGAAUAUCAGCCAAAUCCAGUUCCCAAAUUUCAAUUCUGUACUACAAUAUUCUGAAGUUAAAAAGCACCCAAAGAAUAUGGCUGUUAUGGAUGAUGCUUGAAGGAGGGUUGACUGCCUGUGACCAUAUUUCAAGAGUGCUUAAUAAGUAGCUGACACAUGACACACAAAAAAAUGAUCAACAGGCCCGGAACACAUGGCAAAAGUUUUUUGAUCACCUGGAAAAUCUGCUUAAAAUUUUAACUAUUCAAUUAUUCCCCGGCAUCACGAAAAACGAAGUUGAGUUAGAAGUUGCACGAUUUUUUAUUAACGUCAAAGAUUGCCCUGGUGGUCGGCUACGGUGCUGUAAGAAAACAGCAGUUUCGAUUGACGCGAAAGAUACAGACAGUGACGAGAGAAGUAAAGAGGACAACGAAGAUAAGGCUCCACGAUUAAAGAAGCGAAAGACAUCUUUAAAUAAAUAAUAUCUUGUAUUUUGAAUAGCAUUGCUAUGUAAAUAAUAUGUAGUAUAUAACAGUUUAUGUAACAUGAAUGGUAAUAACAAAUAUAUUUAAAAAAUA